CCUACGGGAGGCAGCAGUCGAGAAUCAUUCACAAUGGGGGAAACCCUGAUGGUGCGACGCCGCGUGGGGGAAUGAAGGUCUUCGGAUUGUAAACCCCUGUCAUGUGGGAGCAAAUUAAAAAGAUAGUACCACAAGAGGAAGAGACGGCUAACUCUGUGCCAGCAGCCGCGGUAAUACAGAGGUCUCAAGCGUUGUUCGGAAUCACUGGGCGUAAAGCGUGCGUAGGCUGUUUCGUAAGUCGUGUGUGAAAGGCGCGGGCUCAACCCGCGGACGGCACAUGAUACUGCGAGACUAGAGUAAGGGAGGGGGAACCGGAAUUCUCGGUGUAGCAGUGAAAUGCGUAGAUAUCGGGAGGAACACUCGUGGCGAAGGCGGGUUCCUGGACAUUAACUGACGCUGAGGCACGAAGGCCAGGGGAGCGAAAGGGAUUAGAUACCCGGGUAGUC
rnacentral:rRNA from 1 species